rnacentral:misc_RNA from 1 species
CCGUGGGGCUUCGGCCCCGUCGAGAUAAUACCCUUGCCUUUUGUGAGUACCAACCGUUUCCUCGGCAGGCUCGCCUGCCAAUGGGGACCCCCUAACGCCCUGAAGUACCGGUAACUGUCUGAUAAAACAAACAAAAAGUCA